AGAGUUUGAUCAUGGCUCAGAAUCAACGCUGGCGGCGCGCUUAACACAUGCAAGUCGAGCGAGAAAGUGGAGCAAUCCAUGAGUAAAGCGGCGUACGGGUGAGUAACACGUGGGUAAUCUGCCUUUUAGUGGGGGAUAACCCUGGGAAACCGGGGCUAAUACCGCAUAAUCCUGUGAAGGGAAAGCAGCAAUGCGCUGAAAGAGGAGCCCGCGGCCGAUUAGCUAGUUGGUGAGGUAAUGGCUCACCAAGGCGGUGAUCGGUAGCCGGCCUGAGAGGGCACACGGCCACACUGGCACUGAAACACGGGCCAGACUCCUACGGGAGGCAGCAGUGGGGAAUCUUGCACAAUGGAGGCAACUCUGAUGCAGCGACGCCGCGUGAGCGAUGAAGCCCCUCGGGGUGUAAAGCUCUUUCGGCAGGGACGAUAAUGACGGUACCUGAAGAAGAAGCUGCGGCUAACUACGUGCCAGCAGCCGCGGUAAUACGUAGGCAGCGAGCGUUGUUCGGAAUUACUGGGCGUAAAGAGUGUGUAGGCGGCGCUCUAAGUUCGGUGUGAAAUCUCUCGGCUUAACUGGGAGGGUGCGCCGGAAACUGGAGUGCUCGAACGUGGGAGAGGAAAGCGGAAUUCCUGGUGUAGCGGUGAAAUGCGUAGAUAUCAGGAGGAACACCUGCGGUGUAGACGGCUUUCUGGACCAUUGUUGACGCUGAGACACGAAAGCGUGGGUAGCAAACAGGAUUAGAUACCCUAGUAGUCC
rnacentral:rRNA from 1 species